rnacentral:rRNA from 1 species
GACGAACGCUGGCGGCGUGCCUAAUACAUGCAAGUAGAACGCUGAAGGAGGAGCUUGCUUCUCUGGAUGAGUUGCGAACGGGUGAGUAACGCGUAGGUAACCUGCCUGGUAGCGGGGGAUAACUAUUGGAAACGAUAGCUAAUACCGCAUAAGAGUAGAUGUCGCAUGACAUUUGCUUAAAAGGUGCAAUUGCAUCACUACCAGAUGGACCUGCGUUGUAUUAGCUAGUUGGUGAGGUAACGGCUCACCAAGGCAACGAUACAUAGCCGACCUGAGAGGGUGAUCGGCCACACUGGGACUGAGACACGGCCCAGACUCCUACGGGAGGCAGCAGUAGGGAAUCUUCGGGAAUGGACGGAAGUCUGACCGAGCAACGCCGAGUGAGUGAAGAAGGUUGUCGGAUCGUAAAGCUCUGUUGUAAGAGAAGAACGAGUGUGAGAGUGGAAAGUUCACACUGUGACGGUAUCUUACCAGAAAGGGACGGCUAACUACGUG